rnacentral:lncRNA from 10 species
CGAAAAUGAAGGUUACCGUCGGGAGGGAGGGCAUGUGGCAGUAGUGUCUCUAGUGGACAAAAGGAAAAGAAACAGCACACUCAAAUAGUUUAAGCCUAUAGAGAUUUAUUAGGGGUUAAAGAUAACUUAAAAUUUGAUGGAAAGGUGAAGGCAGAUUUUCAACUGAACUUCAGGAAUGGCUCUCAGAACCAAACUGCAAAGAACCAAACUGCAAACUAGCUCCCUAAGGGUGAAACUCGGAAAUUUGAAAACACCGAAUCAGGCCAUUCUUCUGUUGCGAUCAGCUCUGGGCUUCCUGUCACCACCCAGCUUGCCCCUAUCUGCUUGGGACUGCCUAAUCAGCCAGAAGACCACAAAAAAGGGCACUCAUCCUUUGUCACCUGAAACAGGACAGAUGUGAAGCACUUUCAACAACUUGUGCUUGAGGCCUGGGAUUCUGUAGAGCAUGUUCCAGUGUACAAGAGGAUUCAAGUCCCUGGCAGCCUGCUUUCUAUCCAAAGCUGGGUCACCUCUCUUGGGACCACCAGGACAUUGAAUUGCUUUCCCAUUCCUGUGGACUUCUGAAAUGGGCCCACCUGAGACAAGAACCCAGAGUGCCUAGCACCUUUAGGCUGGGCACAGAACCACCCACCUAGGAACCGAUGACUGCAACCCAGGAGGAGACACAGAUGCCCCCAGAGAUGCCCCCAAGUCACAGCCUCCCUUGAGCCCUGCCAAUGCACUCCCUAACUGCCUCACUUGGCUGGAUCACCCUGCUCCAGGAACAGACAACUGGAGCCUGAGAAAUCAGAUGAUGGAGACCUACCAAGCAUCACCCUCCUCCUGCCUCCCAACAGCCACCACCCAGUGUUCCAAGUCUUGUUGGGAGUAGAGCCCAGGAGCAGUGGCUGAGUUGAUGCAAGGCUGCCUCUGCCACCUGCCUUUGGCCUCCUUGAGAUUUCUUUCACUGAGACUCUUCAAUGGGUGAUCCUGUGCCAAAAGGUAUUGCUACCAUGACACCUCUAGGUUUGCUCAAACACAAUGGUAGAGAUCGUGCCUGCAGAGAACUUUGCACAUGUGUUUUUGCCCACGUGAUAAAACUGUGCAAAAAUGCAAAAUUCUUACCCAUGCAUGUUUCUGGUUUGGCUGCUGAGGAAGGACAGGGAGCAGAGGAGCUGGUGGCCGGGCCUGGGCCAGGACAGGUGCAUGGCCCUUGGUGCAAUAGGGAGGAGUCCAGCAUGAACACAACUUUUAUUGGUAUAGAGGUGACUGGGUGUUUUAAAGGGAGACUGAGGGAAUAGGGAGGUGUGUGAGUGAGGAAGACCUGCGUAGAAACAGGAAAGUGAAAAAUUAUAGAAAGUGGAAAGGGGGGAUUGGUCCAUAUGAACUGAGUCUCCUAACUGGGGCUAAACAAAGCUAGGCUCCUGCCCUCCCACAGAGGCUGGGAGACAGGAGCCCUAUUUUCAGGUCUUGCCUCGAACACACAGUAUAUUCUUUUUGUAGCCUUGAUCUUUCUCAGUCAGGCAUCUAAAGGAGGGCUAGGGUCAUCCCAGAGUUGUGGCCUUGAGCUGUAAGACACUGUGUUAGUGUUUUUCAAGUCUUUAUAGACCAAGGUUGAAGCUUAGUAAAGAGUACUCCCAGGAACCUGUCUAGAGAUUGGUCAAGGAGAUAAUCUUUGUUAAUGUCAACUGAAGAAAAAAAAAAUCAAGCUUUUAAAUAUUUAAAUUUAUUUAGAAGUCUUUCUGAGGACUACAGACUGAGGACUUACAGCCCUGGAGGAGUCUUUUAGAGAGAUUUUGCAGACUGCUUAGAAACAGCGUUUCUGCUCAUAACUUAUAUACAGGUCAUGGAGGUUUCAGUAUGCCUUCAGAACUUACGUCAAACUUGCUCAGAUUUUACAUUAAAGCAGAAUCACAUCAAUGCUUGGGUGCAAGAGUACAUCUGGUUAUAGAUUAUAGAGCAUAAUCACUAACCCUGUCACAUAUUAUGUGUAGGAAAAUAUGUGUCACAUAUUAUGUGCAAGGACUGAGUUCAUUUAUGUGUUUUGUUUGUUUGUUUGUUUUUUUGAGAUGGAGUUUUGCUCUUGUCGCCCAGGCAGGAGUGCAGUGGCGCGCUCUUGGCUCACUGCAACCUCUGCCUCCCGGGUUCAAGCGUUUCUUCUGCCUCAGCCUCCCAUGUAGUUGGGAUUACAGGCACCCACCACCACGCCCAGCUAAAUUUUGUAUUUUUGUUAGAGACGGGGUUUCACUAUGUUGGCCAGGCUGGUCUUGAACUCCUGACCUCAGGUGAUCCACCUGCCUUGACCUCUCAAAGUGCUGGGAUUACAUGCAUGAGCCACUGCGCCCGGCUCAUUUAUCUUUUAAGGAACAUAGUGACUCAGACAGGAGAUGUGGGGGGCAAUGUGCUGUAUCCUGCCUGUUGUUGUUGUUGUUGUUGUUGUUGUUUGUUUGUUUGGACAAACUCUCACUCUGUCACCCAGGCUGGAGUGCAGUGGUGCGAUCUCGGCUCACUGCAACCUCCACCUCCCGAGUUCAAGUGAUUUUUGUGUCACAGCCUCUCGAGUAGCUAGGAUUACAG